ensembl:lncRNA
AGAAGAGGAUGUACCUUUGAGAGGACUUUGUGUGCAUGCUUGCAUGUGUGUAUGUGUUUGUGUGUGUGUGUGUGUUUGAAACCACAGUUCAGGCGCGCUGUUACUUAGGCAACAAAAACAAAACAGGAACAUUUGCUCUUGAUUUUUAUCCUGAUUAAAUAAAGCACAUUCAUUUUUCUAAAAGCUCUGAAGUUCACAGUCUGGUUUCUUCCACGAUUGCUUUAUUCGUUUUAAAGUUUUGAGAAGAAGCGAGGAGGAAACUUUUUCAUGGCCUGAUUUUGACAGGAAGUCACUGUGAGACAAAGAGCACCUGCAGUUCUUAACAAAGAUGGAACAAAACCUCGCUGAUAUGCUGAAAGAUGCUUUCUCAGAAGUUGAUCCAGAUUUUGGCAGUCUACAGUUCGAGGAGAGCAUUACUGCAUCUCAAACACAGCCAGACACCGAUGCAGAGUUUGAAUUGAAAGACACCAGCCGACUCUGGGAAACUUCUGACCAGAAUGAAGGUUCAUUCGAGACCUUUACCAAGGUUUUUGAGACAGAAAAGACUGAAGGUCCUGAUCCUGAUGACAGUACUGAUAGCAGUGAGGAGACUGACCUAAGUAAUCCAACUGGAUUUGCAAUUAAUCCAGGCCAAGAAAUGAAAUAUGUCAAAGAUCAGGCUGUAGGAAAGGCUGCAUCUGACACCCCAAGAGCACGACUAGAACACCAGGCCUGCAUUGAGCACACUACCGAGGAAGAAGGCUACAGCAGUAGUGAUGAAGAAACAAAUACUUGUAUGCCCCCUGAAUUUGGUGUUGGUCAUGCCAGGACAUUGGCAGAAGAAAAUAAAGACAAUGAUCUUAACCAGGAGGGAACCAUCAAACUCAAAAUCCAGGAAUCUGUUGGGAAUCAAGGAAUCCAGAGCAAAGAACAUCAAGAACUAUCAUCAGCUCUAGCAUUUAAGGAGAAUCAGACCCUAGAAGAUAGGUCAUCAGGGUCAGAAGAAGGAUCAGAAGAAGAAGAAGGAUCAGAAGAAGGAUCAGAAGAAGAAGAAGAAGAAGAUGAAAAAGAAGAACCAACAGAACAAACACUUCAGUGCAAUGUUAAGAGGACAGGAUCUGCCACUGGUCGAGAUCAAGAAAUGGAUGAUCAGGUUGAAACAUUUGUAGUGCGACAAAAAAAACAGUUACAUGUUAAGUGCAAUGUCGAGGAGGAAUACAGCAUGCACAGUGAUGAAGACACCAAUGAUUCUGUGCCCUACAAAUUUGUUGGUGGUGAGGCCAACAUUUUGGGCGAAGAGAAUAAUGGAAUUGAUCUCAAUCAAGAGGGAACCGUACAACUUUCCUUGGGAUCUGUUGAGAAUCAAGGAUUUCAGAGCAAAGAGCAUCAAGAAAGACUAGAAUCAUCUGUAGACUUUGAUGAGAGCCAAACCCAAGAAGAAGGGUCAUCUGGGUCAGAAGACAAAGACGAUGAUGAAGAAGAAGAAGAAGAAGAAGAAGAAGAAGAGGAAGAAGAAGAGGAAGGGUUGGGCAACUAUAACCCAGAAGAACCAACAGACCAGAUAUCUCUUUGCGACUCUGAUAACAGCAUGAACAAGCCUUUAACUAUCAUACAGCCAAACACAACACCUGUAGGAUUCAAUGAAGAAGAUGACCUGAAAGAGUUCACAGAAGAAGACCAAGAAGGGGUCAAGGAAAGUCUUGCAGAGUAUCCGUCAGAUUUGUUUCAAAGUGAAGUUGAAGGUGAAGAGCAUGCUGACCAUGGCAAAGACCAGCCAUCUUUACUUGUAGACAGCAGUUAUGGCGACGAUUACUCCUCAAAUGAGACGAUGAAGAAUUUGUCCAGUGUCGAAGGUGACGGUUUGCAAGAGGAGGAUGUCGGAUUAACAGAUUUUACGGAUUCUGAGGUCAAGAUCACGGAAGCAGAAGAUCAGAUAGUAUCAGAGAAUGUGAAGGUCCACAAAGAUCUCCAGGACUCUCAAACAAAUGAAGGCGGCACCAGUGAAGAAGAUGCAAGCAAAUCCUCAAAUGUUCAACAAGACUACGACAGUGACGUCAGCAGUGACCACAGCACAAGUCACAAGGAAACCAUCCUAGCUGAUAGUUCCUCAUCUUCAUCUGUGAGGCAUGAAGAAGAAUGGAAGAGUGAGGAACAGUGUAACAACCUUAUAGAGGACCUGGGAAUGGGGAAUUACCACAGAGGUGGUAUCUUUCCAGAGAUGGACAGAGACGUCCAAACUGCAAGCCCAGUUAUCUUAAGUCAGGCAUUAAGCUCAACUUUAGAAUCAGUUCAACUGGAACAACUGGUCCAACCAUCAAUCCAAGCAGAGGAUCGAUAUCCUUCUGAACUUUUUAGUGUAACAGACACCAACACCUUCAUCCCUGAGGGGUUCUUAUUCUCAAAUGAAGGAAACCUGCCCUUCGACGAUUAUGACUGGAGCUUGUCAGUAGAAAAACCCAAUGAUUUGAUUUUAGAUGAAGCAGAAGAUCAAGACUACACAGAAAACUUAGCAGAGUUAGACUCUGAUGAAGAUCUGGAAGGAGUGGAACAGAAUGAGCGAGACUGGGAGCAGGAAAAGACAAGAAUCGAGGCUUUUUAUAAAUUCUACGAUGACCAGGUCGACACAGAAGACAGAUCAGGUGAGUGCACUUGCUGUCUGUAUUGUAAAAAGCCUGACUUCCCUAGUGAAAAAAGUAGAUUAGUAUAAGUA